rnacentral:tRNA from 1 species
AGCGCUGUAGAGAAGCGGCCUAUCUCGCUUGGCUCAUAACCAAGAGAACGUCGGUUCAAAUCCGAAGAGCGCAACCA